CUUGUGUCAUUGGACUGAUGACAAAGACAACAGAGAAAUGAAGCAGUAAAGAUCAGAGACAGAGACAGAGCUGCUGUGGAAGCACAAAACUAUUUGAUUGGCCGAGCCAUUAAACUGGCCCCGCCCACUGAAGUUGAGCUCAUCCAAUGACAUUAUUUGUUGGUCAUUGUGCUGCAGUGGAAGAACAUUGUUCAUGUGCUGUCUGUCUGGCUUUAAUAACUCCAAAGACAUGUUGCUGCACCUCUUUUUGCUUCUAUCUCACAUUAUAGGACUCACAGCUGGAGACUCAAUCACUCCUCAACAAACUGAAGUCACUGAAACAGAAGGAGAAUCUGUCACACUCACAUGUGACUAUGAGACAACAACAGGCUAUGCACGUCUUUUCUGGUACAAACAUCAUUCUGACCUUCAGGCUCCUCAGUUUAUACUCUGGAAAGAUGGACAAGGAGGCAGUGAUGAAUAUAUUCCUGAUAAUCGAUAUAAAACCAAAACAUCACGUUCAUCAACUACUCUGACCAUAACAGCCCUAACCCUG